rnacentral:rRNA from 1 species
GGUGAACGCUGGCGGCGUGCCUAACACAUGCAAGUCGAGCGGUACAGUUUGAAGCUUCGGUGGAGAGCUGUAUAGCGGCGGACGGGUGAGUAAAGCGUAGGAACGUGCCCCUCGGAGUUGGAUAGCCAUGGGAAACUGUGGGUAAACCGACAUAGACUCGGGAGAGUAAAGGCCGAAAGGCGCCGAGGGAGCGGUCUGCGUCCCAUCAGGUAGUUGGUAGGUAAAGGCCUACCAAGCCGACGACGGGUAACCGGUCUGAGAGGAUGGCCGGUCACAAGGGCACUGAGAGACGGGCCCUACUCCUACGGGAGGCAGCAGUGGGGGAUUUUGGACAAUGGGCGAAAGCCUGAUCCAGCGACGCCGCGUGGAGGACGAAGCCCUUCGGGGUGUAAACUCCUUUUCUCAGGGAAAAGGAUGAUGGUACCUGAGGAAUAAGCCCCGGCUAACUAACGUGCCAGCCAGCCGCGGUAAAUAGAGCGUACUCAGAUAGCACGAGACACAGGAGGUAGAG